rnacentral:rRNA from 1 species
UAAGCGGAGGAAAAGAAACUAACAAGGAUUCCCCUAGUAACUGCGAGUGAAGCGGGAAAAGCUCAAAUUUAAANUCUGGCGGUCUUUGGCCGUCCGAGUUGUAAUUUAGAGAAGCGUCNUUCCGCGCUGGACCGUGCACAAGUCUCCUGGAAUGGAGCGUCAUAGAGGGUGAGAAUCCCCGUCUUUGGCACGGAUGCCUGGUGCUUCUGUGAUGCGCUCUCGAAGAGUCGAGUUGUUUGGGAAUGCAGCUCAAAAUGGGUGGUGAACUCCAUCUAAAGCUAAAUAUUGGCGAGAGACCGAUAGCGAACAAGUACCGUGAGGGAAAGAUGAAAAGCACUUUGGAAAGAGAGUGAAACAGUACGUGAAAUUGUUGAAAGGGAAACGCUUGAAGUCAGUCGCGUCGACCGAGACUCAGCCUUGCCUUGGCUUGGUGUACUUCUCGGCCCGACGGGUCAGCAUCAAUUUUGCCCCUCGGAUAAUGGCAAGGGAAAGGUGGCACCUUUACGGGUGUGUUAUAGUCUCCUGUCGAAUGCGAGGGGUGGGAUUGAGGAACUCAGCGCGCACCUCAGUGUCGGGGCUUCGGCCCACGUCACGCGCUUAGGAUGCUGGCGUAAUGGCUUUAAACGACC